rnacentral:rRNA from 2 species
GAUGAACGCUGGCGGCGUGCUUAACACAUGCAAGUCGAACGAAGUUCAUUAGCAGAAACCUUCGGGAUGAAGCUAAGAAGACUUAGUGGCGAACGGGUGAGUAACACGUGGGUAACCUGCCUUACACUACGGGAUAGCAAUGAGAAGUCAUUGAUAAUACCGUAUAAGCUUACGCUAUCGCAUGAUAGAGUGAGAAAAGAUUUAUCGGUGUAAGAUGGACCCGCGUCUGAUUAGUUAGUUGGUAAGGUAACGGCUUACCAAGACGAUGAUCAGUAGCCGACUUGAGAGAGUGAUCGGCCACAUUGGGACUGAGACACGGCCCAAACUCCUACGGGAGGCAGCAGUGGGGAAUAUUGCACAAUGGAGGAAACUCUGAUGCAGCAACGCCGCGUGAAGGAAGACGGUUUUCGGAUUGUAAACUUCUAUCAGUAGGGAAGAAGAAAUGACGGUACCUAACUAAGAAGCCCCGGCUAACUACGUGCCAGCCGCCGCCGUAAU